rnacentral:rRNA from 1 species
CCUAACUACACAAAAGCAACCUAUAUUGGGAGUGACUAACUUCCGAAGGUUCCGAUUUUAGCGAUAGAUCCAAACGACCUUCGAUCGAUCCUCCCGCUCGUCCUGCUGCAGGUCUCCUGAAUAGCUACUAAGCCAACUUACCUACUCAACCAUCUUUGUUUGUUGUCCACAAUACAUAACUGAGGGUAUUUGAACCCUUCUUUCUACCAUAUUAGCAAAACAGUCUUGAUAACUUUGGCAUCAGCAACGUGAUAAGGAGUUCGAUGGCGUGUCCGGGAUGUUGCCCCGGUCUGAUUUGUUCAACAGCAAGGGCUUCACUUUUGGUGAGCCACCUUGGAGGUCCGCAAAGCUGUAUAUCAGCGAUGGAGCCGCGUCGAGCUCGGGUGAGGUGGUGAUUCAUCAUUCUUUUCUUUGGUGGCUGCUAUGGUGGUGCCGGAGGCAGGUGACGGGCGUUGGUGUCAAGCUCAAAGAUGUUCUGCUAUCUUUUCAGUUUUGUCUUGUCGGUUUUUACGUGAUUUGUACUUUGUUAUUUAUGAUAUGAAUGAGACACGUAUUACCAUGCCCAAAAAAAAGCAACGUGAUAACUAUGACAUGACCAUCCUGGUAACUACAACAUUAGGGCCCUGAUAAAAAUUAAACAUGAUAAAAGAAGUUUGAUAACUAUAUCGUUAGAAGGAUGGUAACUAGAACGUGAGAAGCAUGAUAACUUUAGCAUGAUAAGGUUGAUAAGUUCAACAUUAGCACCCUAGUAACAAAUAGCAUGGUAAGGUUGAUAAUUGUAUCAUUAGAAUGCUGAUAACUAGAGCGUGAGAAGCACGGUAAAUUUAGCAUGGGCAGCACCAUAACUUUACAUAGAAAUUCUUGGGAUAUAUUUCAAUAAAUUUUUCCCUGGUGAAAAUUUAGCAUGGUGUUUGAGAGUAAGUCAUUAGCUAUGUGAAACGUAAAAAUACCAUUUUUCACACAUAAGUUUAUGGCGAGUGAUAGGUGCCGGUGCGCCGGCCGAAAUUUGGGCCCGUCGCACCAGCAGCGUCAGAUCAAACGUCACGUAGCUACACGAUUCUCUCCCCUCCCUCUAUCAGAUGGCAUCUCCUUUCCAGAAAAAAAGCUUCCACCGCGCGGCCAUGGACUAGCACGUGCCCGGGGCCUCGAAGCGCCGCCCAACGCGUCUCGCCUGUCGCGGCCCCCGCCGUCGGUCGGUGCCCUCGCCGCCGGUCGUCGUCGUCCUGGCAGGUCGGUGUCGCUGCUGCCUCCUCCUGCGACUCUCGCCGUCGUCCAUCGAGCUGCGUGCACCAGCGGUUGCAGGUCCCCAUGGCGACGGCCACAGCUCCGGUGGCGUCGGUCGCCGGUCGUAACACGCCGCCGACGAGCUCGCAGAAAAAAGUACUAACUCACAGUGGCAGCAAAAAAAUUGCCGGUCGUAGCAAAAAGAGUGUCUGGUUCCAGCAAAAAUAGCUCGCCGGUGCCGCCUCCCCAUCGCCAUCAUAGCAAAAAAGCUCACCGGUUGUAACUUUUGUAAUCACGGGUAGUAGCAAAAACACCACCCAUCACCACUAAAAUAAGAAGUCGAUGUAGCAAAAAAUGUAGCAAGUUCCGGCAAAAAAUAAAGCUGGUUCCAGCAAAAAAAAGGACGUCGGCGGUGCGAGGCACGUCCGAUUCCAGCAAAAAUCACAGGAAGCAAAAAUCAAAAAAGAAGACAUGUAGCAAAAAAAAGUAGCAAGUUCCAGCAAAGAAUAAAGCUGGUUCCAGCACCCGACAUAGCCGGUAGUAGCACCGGAGAUCGCUGGUUCCAGCACUCGACGCAGCCGGCUUGCCGGUUGCCGUCGAGCUGAUUCAGCAUCGCUGCAGCCGGUGGUAGCACCGGAACUCUCCGGUUCCAGCACCGGAUGCAGACGGUUGCAGUUUGGGUCGAAGCUGCCAAUUGACGUCGGAGAAGCCUGUCACAGCUCGUCCGCUGGAGGUCCAACACCUCUCUGCUGCUCGUCGCAGCACGGCGCCCGGGGUCCCCAGCACCUCCGGCCGCUCCGAGUGGUCUACGGCGCGGCUGGAUAGGAGCGUGACAAUGACUACCUCGCCGGUGUUGAACGAAACACGGUGGCACCGUAGUGGCAUGGCUUCUGUAGCCAGCGAGGAGAAAGGGGAAAGAAAUAGAUGAGUUCUUGCUCAUUAUGUGUGGUGGAAGACAAGAUGCAAACGUGUGGUUGUAUGGAGCUGUGAAGAGAUAAGGAUAAAAAUGGAGACGUGGACUGUUGGUGGCCCCAGCUUUGCACGUAGCUGCUAUAUGGGAGAGAG